rnacentral:rRNA from 1 species
UACGUAGGGGGCAAGCGUUGUCCGGAUUUAUUGGGCGUAAAGAGCUCGUAGGCGGCUUGGCAAGUCGGGUGUGAAAACUCCAGGCUCAACCUGGAGCGGCCAUCCGAUACUGCUAUGGCUAGAGUCCGGUAGGGGACCACGGAAUUCCUGGUGUAGCGGUGAAAUGCGCAGAUAUCAGGAGGAACACCGGUGGCGAAGGCGGUGGUCUGGGCCGGAACUGACGCUGAAUAGCGAAAGCGUGGGUAGCGAACAGG